UACGGGGGGGGCAAGCGUUGUUCGGAAUUACUGGGCGUAAAGGGCUCGUAGGCGGCCAACUAAGUCGGAUGUGAAAUCCCCAAGCUUAACUUGGGAACUGCGCUUGUAACUGGCAAGCUUGAGUGUGGCAGAGGGGGGUGGAAUUCCAUGUGUAGCAGUGAAAUGCGUAGAGAUGUGGAGGAACACCGAUGGCGAAGGCAGCCCCCUGGGCUAACACUGACGCUCAUGCACGAAAGCGUGGGGAGCAAACAGG
rnacentral:rRNA from 1 species